rnacentral:rRNA from 1 species
AUUGAACGCUGGCGGCAGGCCUAACACAUGCAAGUCGAACGGUAACAGGAAGCAGCUUGCUGCUUCGCUGACGAGUGGCGGACGGGUGAGUAAUGUCUGGGAAACUGCCUGAUGGAGGGGGAUAACUACUGGAAACGGUAGCUAAUACCGCAUAACGUCGCAAGACCAAAGAGGGGGACCUUAGGGCCUCUUGCCAUCGGAUGUGCCCAGAUGGGAUUAGCUAGUAGGUGGGGUAACGGCUCACCUAGGCGACGAUCCCUAGCUGGUCUGAGAGGAUGACCAGCCACACUGGAACUUAGACACGGUCCAGACUCCUACGGGAGGCAGCAGUGGGGAAUAUUGCACAAUGGGCGCAAGCCUGAUGCAGCCAUGCCGCGUGUAUGAAGAAGGCCUUCGGGUUGUAAAGUACUUUCAGCGGGGAGGAAGGGAGUAAAGUUAAUACCUUUGCUCAUUGACGUUACCCGCAGAAGAAGCACCGGCUAACUCCGUG